UACGUAGGUGGCAAGCGUUGUCCGGAUUUAGCUAGGGCGUAAAGGCGUGCAGGCGGUCUGUUAAGAUCCUAGGGUGGAAAGCUCCCGGCUCAACUGGGAGAGGUCCUUGGAUACUGGCGGACUUGAGGGAUGCAGAGGAAAGUGGAAUUCCCGGUGUAGUGGUGAUAUGCGUAGAUAUCGGGAGGAACACCAGUGGCGAAGGCGCUUUCUGGGCAUUCCUGACGCUGAGACGCGAAAGCGUGGGGAGCGAACCGG
rnacentral:rRNA from 1 species